rnacentral:rRNA from 1 species
UACGUAGGGACCAAGCGUUGUUCGGAUUUACUGGGCGUAAAGGGCGCGUAGGCGGCGUGGUAAGUCACUUGUGAAAUCUCUGAGCUUAACUCAGAACUGCCAAGUGAUACUGCUGUGCUCGAGUGUGGAAGGGGCAAUCGGAAUUCUUGGUGUAGCGGUGAAAUGCGUAGAUAUCAAGAGGAACACCGGAGGUGAAGACGGGUUGCUGGGCCAACACUGACGCUGAGGCGCGAAAGCCAGGGGAGCAAACGGG